CGCGGCCUAUCAGCUUGUUGGCGGGGUAACGGCCCACCAAGGCGUCGACGGGUAGCUGGUCUGAGAGGACGAUCAGCCACACUGGGACUGAGACACGGCCCAGACUCCUACGGGAGGCAGCAGUGGGGAAUAUUGCGCAAUGGGCGGAAGCCUGACGCAGCAACGCCGCGUGCGGGAUGAAGGCCUUCGGGUUGUAAACCGCUUUCAGCAGGGACGAAGCAACACGUGACGGUACCUGCAGAAGAAGCACCGGCCAACUACGUGCCAGCAGCCGCGGUGAUACGUAGGGUGCGAACGUUGUCCGGAAUUAUUGGGCGUAAAGAGCUUGUAGGCGGUCUGUCGCGUCGAAAGUGAAAACUCAGGGCUCAACCCUGAGCCUGCUCUCGAUACGGGCAGACUAGAGGGAUGUAGGGGAGAACGGAAUUCUUGGUGGAGCGGUGGAAUGCGCAGAUAUCAGGAGGAACACCGGUGGCGAAGGCGGUUCUCUGGACAUUUCCUGACGCUGAGAAGCGAAAGCGUGGGUAGCAAACAGGCUUAGAUACCCUGGUAGUCCACGCCGUAAACGGUGGGUACUAGGUGUGGGGGACAUUCCACGUUCUCCGUGCCGUAGCUAACGCAUUAAGUACCCCGCCUGGGG
rnacentral:rRNA from 1 species